rnacentral:rRNA from 1 species
AGUGAACGCUGGCGGUAUGCCUAACACAUGCAAGUCGAACGGCAGCACAGUAAGUGCUUGCUCUGACGGGUGGCCAGUGGCGGACGUGUGAGGUAUACAUCGGAAUCUACUUUUUCGUGGGGGAUAAGGUAGGGAAACUUACUCUAAUACCGCAUACGACCUACGGUUGAAAGCAGGUGAUCUUCGGACCUUGCGCGAUUGAAUGAGCCGGUGUUGGAUUAGCUAGUUGGCGGGGGAAAGGCCCACCAAGGGGACGAUCCAGAGGUGGUCCGGGAGGGUGGACGAGCACACUGGGAAUGAAGCCAGGGCCCGAACCCCACGGGAAGGAACAAGUGGGGAAUAUCGGACAAGGGGCGAAAGCCUGCUCCAGCCAUACCGGUGGGGUGAGGAAGGCCUUCGGGUUGUAAAGCCUUUUUGUUGGGAAAGAAAAGCAGCAGGUUAAUACCCCGCUGUUCUGACGGUACCCAAAGAAUAAGCACCGGCUAACUUCGUG